rnacentral:Y_RNA from 1 species
GGCUGGUCUGAAGGCAGUGAGGAUCUCACUUGAUUGUUCACAGUCAGUUACAGAUUGAACUCCUUGUUCUACUUUCCCCCUUCUCACUACUGCACUCGACUAGUCUUAA